rnacentral:rRNA from 1 species
AAUGAACGCUGGCGGCAGGCCUAACACAUGCAAGUCGGACGGAUCCUUCGGGAUAAGUGGCGGACGGGUGAGUAACGCGUGGGAACAUACCCAAAGGUACGGAAUAGCCUCGGGAAACUGGGAGUAAUACCGUAUGUGCUCGAAAGAGGAAAGAUUUAUCGCCUUUGGAUUGGCCCGCGUUGGAUUAGGUAGUUGGUGGGGUAAUGGCCUACCAAGCCGACGAUCCAUAGCUGGUUUGAGAGGAUGAUCAGCCACACUGGGACUGAGACACGGCCCAGACUCCUACGGGAGGCAGCAGUGGGGAAUCUUAGACAAUGGGGGAAACCCUGAUCUAGCCAUGCCGCGUGAUCGAUGAGGGCCUUAGGGUUGUAAAGAUCUUUCAGGUGGGAAGAUAAUGACUGUACCACCAGAAGAAGCCCCGGCUAACUCCGUGCCAGCCGCCGCCGUAA